rnacentral:rRNA from 1 species
AUGGGGCGAGACGAGACGGGCGAGGCCGAGUCCGUGACUUCCCUCUGCGGGCGGAGCUUCUCGCGGUGGCAACGAGGUGCGGUCGAAUCCGAGACGGCAACUGAAGGCGAGGCGACUAGGAUGCGAGAUCUCAUUAUGCUUAUGAGAAAGUCGCCGAGCCGGGAGACGAGUUCGUCAUUGAGGAACCCGUUGAGUACGCUUACGAGGAUCAAGCUUACGUCAACGCAGAGAACUUUGCAGGCAAGAUGA